rnacentral:rRNA from 1 species
GACGAACGCUGGCGGCGUGCUUAACACAUGCAAGUCGAACGAUGAUGCCCAGCUUGCUGGGCGGAUUAGUGGCGAACGGGUGAGUAACACGUGAGUAACCUGCCCCUGACUCUGGGAUAAGCGUUGGAAACGACGUCUAAUACUGGAUAUGAUCACCGGCCGCAUGGUCUGGUGGUGGAAAGAUUUUUUGGUUGGGGAUGGACUCGCGGCCUAUCAGCUUGUUGGUGAGGUAAUGGCUCACCAAGGCGACGACGGGUAGCCGGCCUGAGAGGGUGACCGGCCACACUGGGACUGAGACACGGCCCAGACUCCUACGGGAGGCAGCAGUGGGGAAUAUUGCACAGUGGGCGAAAGCCUGAUGCAGCAACGCCGCGUGAGGGAUGACGGCCUUCGGGUUGUAAACCUCUUUUAGUAGGGAAGAAGCGAAAGUGACGGUACCUGCAGAAAAAGCACCGGCUAACUACGUGCCAGCAGCCGCGGUAAUACGUAGGGUGCAAGCGUUGUCCGGAAUUAUUGGGCGUAAAGAGCUCGUAGGCGGUUUGUCGCGUCUGCUGUGAAAUCCCGAGGCUCAACCUCGGGCUUGCAGUGGGUACGGGCAGACUAGAGUGCGGUAGGGGAGAUUGGAAUUCCUGGUGUAGCGGUGGAAUGCGCAGAUAUCAGGAGGAACACCGAUGGCGAAGGCAGAUCUCUGGGCCGUAACUGACGCUGAGGAGCGAAAGCAUGGGGAGCGAACAGGAUUAGAUACCCUGGUAGUCCAUGCCGUAAACGUUGGGCGCUAGAUGUAGGGACCUUUCCACGGUUUCUGUGUCGUAGCUAACGCAUUAAGCGCCCCGCCUGGGGAGUACGGCCGCAAGGCUAAAACUCAAAGGAAUUGACGGGGGCCCGCACAAGCGGCGGAGCAUGCGGAUUAAUUCGAUGCAACGCGAAGAACCUUACCAAGGCUUGACAUACACCGGAAACGGCCAGAGAUGGUCGCCCCCUUGUGGUCGGUGUACAGGUGGUGCAUGGUUGUCGUCAGCUCGUGUCGUGAGAUGUUGGGUUAAGUCCCGCGACGAGCGCAACCCUCGUUCUAUGUUGCCAGCGGGUUAUGCCGGGGACUCAUAGGAGACUGCCGGGGUCAACUCGGAGGAAGGUGGGGAUGACGUCAAAUCAUCAUGCCCCUUAUGUCUUGGGCUUCACGCAUGCUACAAUGGCCGGUACAAAGGGCUGCGAUACCGUAAGGUGGAGCGAAUCCCAAAAAGCCGGUCUCAGUUCGGAUUGAGGUCUGCAACUCGACCUCAUGAAGUCGGAGUCGCUAGUAAUCGCAGAUCAGCAACGCUGCGGUGAAUACGUUCCCGGGCCU